rnacentral:rRNA from 1 species
GACGAACGCUGGCGGCGUGCCUAAUACAUGCAAGUCGAACGACGAGACUUUAACUGAUGCUUGCAUCGACCAAAGGAUCGGAGUGGCGAACGGGUGAGUAACACGUGGGUAACCUGCCUAUCAGAGGGGGAUAACACUUGGAAACAGGUGCUAAUACCGCAUAACAAUCAUAACCGCAUGGUUAUGAUUUGAAAGGCGCUUCUGGUGUCACUGAUAGAUGGACCCGCGGUGCAUUAGCUAGUCGGUGGGGUAACGGCCUACCGAGGCGAUGAUGCAUAGCCGACCUGAGAGGGUGAUCGGCCACAUUGGGACUGAGACACGGCCCAAACUCCUACGGGAGGCAGCAGUAGGGAAUCUUCCGCAAUGGACGAAAGUCUGACCGAGCAACGCCGCGUGAGUGAAGAAGGCUUUCGGAUCGUAAAACUCUGUUGUUAGGGAAGAACAAGUGCUAGUUGAAUAAGCUGGCACCUUGACGGUACCUAACCAGAAAGCCACGGCUAACUACGUGCCAGCAGCCGC